UAGGGAAUCUUCGGCAAUGGGGGGAACCCUGACCGAGCAACGCCGCGUGAGUGAAGAAGGUUUUCGGAUCGUAAAGCUCUGUUGUUAAGGAAGAACGAGUGUGAGAAUGGAAAGUUCAUGCUGUGACGGUACUUAACCAGAAAGGGACGGCUAACUACGUGCCAGCAGCCGCGGUAAUACGUAGGUCCCGAGCGUUGUCCGGAUUUAUUGGGCGUAAAGCGAGCGCAGGCGGUUAGAAAAGUCUGAAGUGAAAGGCAGUGGCUCAACCAUUGUAGGCUUUGGGAACUGUUUAACUUGAGUGCAGAAGGGGGGAGUGGAAUUCCAUGUGUAGCGGUGAAAUGCGUAGAUAUAUGGAGGAACACCGGUGGCGAAAGCGGCUCUCUGGUCUGUAACUGACGCGGAGGCUCGAAAGCGUGGGUAACAAACAGG
rnacentral:rRNA from 1 species